AUUUUGGUGUCUGGUCAGGAGC
rnacentral:piRNA from 1 species